rnacentral:rRNA from 1 species
UUCCGGUUGAUCCUGCCAGAGGCUACUGCUAUCGGGGUUCGAUUAAGCCAUGCGAGUUAAAUGUUCUUCGUGAACAUAGCGAACUGCUCAGUAACACGUGGAUAACCUACCCUUGGGACCGGAAUAACCCCGGGAAACUGGGGAUAAUACCGGAUAAGCCAUAGACGCUGGAAUGCCCUAUGGUUCAAAGCUCCGGCGCCUAAGGAUGGAUCUGCGGUCUAUCAGGUUGUAGUGGGUGUAACGUACCUACUAGCCGACGACGGAUACGGGUUGUGAGAGCAAGAGCCCGGAGAUGGAUUCUGAGACACGAAUCCAGGCCCUACGGGGUGCAGCAGGCGCGAACACUUUACAAUGCGGGAAACCGCGAUAAGGGAACCCCGAGUGCCAGCAUCAAAUGUUGGCUGUCCAGAUGAUUAAAAAUCAUUUGUUAGCAAGGGCCGGGCAAGACCGGUGCCAGCCGCCGCGGUAACACCGGCGGCCCGAGUGGUAGCCGUUUUUAUUGGGUCUAAAGGGUCCGUAGCCGGCCUGAUAAGUCCUUUGGGAAAUCUGGCAGCUUAACUGUCAGGCUUCUAAGGGAUACUGUCAGGCUUGGGACCGGAAGAGGUAAGGGGUACUCCAGGGGUAGGAGUGAAAUCUUGUAAUCCCUGGGGGACCAUCUGUGGCGAAGGCGCCUUACCAGAACGGGUCCGACGGUGAGGGACGAAAGCUAGGGGAGCAAACCGGAUUAGAUACCCGGGUAGUCCUAGCUGUAAACGAUGCUCGCUAGGUGUCAGACACGGUGCGACCGUGUUUGGUGCC